rnacentral:rRNA from 1 species
GACGAACGCUGGCGGCGUGCCUAAUACAUGCAAGUUGAGCGACGAACCAGGGCUUGCCCUGGGGCAAAGCAGCGAACGGGUGAGUAACAAGUGGGUAACCUACCCCGAUAACCGGGACAACCCGAGGAAACUCGGGCUAAUACCGGAUGUGCUCACUGGACUUCGGUUCAGUGCGUAAAGGAAGCUUCGGCCUCCGUAUCGGGAGGGGCCCGCGGCCCAUUAGUUUGUUGGUGAGGUAACGGCUCACCAAGACCGCGAUGGGUAGCUGGUCUGAGAGGACGAUCAGCCACACUGGGACUGAGACACGGCCCAGACUCCUACGGGAGGCAGCAGUGGGGAAUCUUGCGCAAUGCGCGAAAGCGUGACGCAGCAACGCCGCGUGGGGGAAGAAGGCCUUCGGGUUGUAAACCCCUUUCAGGAGGGACGAAGGUUCGGCGGUGAAUAGCCGUCCGGACUGACGGUACCUCCACAAGAAGCCCCGGCUAACUACGUG